CCUGGCCGCCUCUAUAAUGCAGUCGACGGGGUAUGUAGCGAUAUGUACCCAGUGGCGAACGGGUGAGUAACGCGUUGGUGACCUGCCCCAAAGCGGGGGAUAACAGUUCGAAAGGGCUGCUAAUACCCCAUGAGUUCGCAGUAGUUAGAGAGCUGCGAAGAAAGGGAUGAAAGCGAAAGCGGACAUUUCACUUUGGGAGGGACCUGCGACGCAUCAGCUAGUUGGUAAGGUAACGGCCUACCAAGGCGACGACGGGUAGGGGGCCUGAGAGGGUGGCCCCCCACACUGGCACUGAAACACGGGCCAGACACCUACGGGUGGCAGCAGUAGGGAAUAUUGCACAAUGGGCGGAAGCCUGAUGCAGCAACGCCGCGUGCGCGAUGAAGGCCUUCGGGUCGUAAAGCGCUUUUCUGGGAGACGAGGAAGGACGGUAUCCCAGGAAUAAGUCUCGGCUAACUACGUGCCAGCAGCCGCGGUAAAACGUAGGAGACAAGCGUUAUCCGAAUUUACUGGGCGUAAAGCGCAAGCAGGUGGUUAGGUAAGUUGAAUGUGAAAUCUCCUGGCUCAACUGGGAGGGGCCGUUCAAGACUGCCUGGCUAGAGGGCGGUAGAGGGAGGUGGAAUUCCCGGUGUAGUGGUGAAAUGCGUAGAUAUCGGGAGGAACACCUGUGGCGAAAGCGGCCUCCUGGACCGUACCUGACGCUAAGAUGCGAAAGCUAGGGGAGUGAACGGGAUUAGAAACCCCGGUAAUCCUAGCCGUAAACGAUGUGGACUGGGUGUUGGUGGGGUAAAAGCCAUCGGUGCCGAAGCAAACGCGAUAAGUCCACCGCCUGGGGACUACGGCCGCAAGGUUAAAACUCAAAGGAAUUGACGG
rnacentral:rRNA from 1 species